CUCCAUCCAGCUCCGUUGUAUCGGGGUGGCAGCAGAGGAUAGAUAAGAUAUCUCAACAUGGACAGAUGAAACUAUUUGCACGGCCUCACACCAGUAUGGCUAUCCUUCACGCAUACUGCAAUGUUUACUGCAGCCUCGGCUCCUCCUCUUUCACUGUCCUCUCUGUUAAUGAAAUAACAGCUUUGCCUGCAUCCUGGCAGUUAUUCAAUAUGACUAGAGGUGUGUCAGUCGGGUCUUCCUGGCUCCUGUGGGCUCCAGCAAGUAGAGGCAGGAGUGGACUUGAGCCCUAACCCCCUCUAACAGCACCUCAGGCUGCUCUGUGGAUACAGAGGACAGGUACAGAGGGCCGGAGGACGGGUCCGCCUGCCAGGUCCUGAAAAGGAGGGAGAAGAGAUUUUCAGGAAGUCGUGCACAUAAAUGUGACUGCUGUCAAUCUGAUUACAACCGGACUUUAGUUUAGCUGUUGACUGUAUGCAAUUUAAACCCUAACCCCUCUGUAUUAUGUCAAAUGAAACCGUUCAAUCAAAUGCAAGCAUUUGAUUGAACAGUU